AUUAAUUUGCCUUGCCCUCCUCAGACCCAGGCCAUACAAAUGAAUAAAAUAAUAAUUAAUAGUUUAAAAAUCACUAGAAGAACACUCUUUUAUAAAUGUGUUUCCGGAUCGUGUUCAAAGUCUAUUACGUGAGUUUGGGCACCAAAAAAAAAUACGUGUCCGUUAUUUUAGACUACUCUAUAACAUAUAUAAAUAUAAAUCAAAUCGGAACCAGACAGUUUGGUACCUUUCCUUUACCCCUAGUGUAAAUAAAUUCGAUUUCGAAACGUGACGUACGCGUUUGCGUUUAGUCUCAUUUUGUAUUGGAUUUAGAAAGAGCGCGCCAAGCGGGACGUUUUGGAAACUCAAAAUCCUAUACAAAAUGAGACUUAACGCAAACGCGUUCGUCACGUUAUGAUGUCGAUCAAAUUUACACUAGGGGUACAGGUCAGUUCUUCAAUGGAAUUCCGCUUGGCGCCCGUAGAAUGAAAUGAAGUAGAUUUAAAUACUUAUUUAAUAGCCCAACUCCCAUGUUUCAUGGUUUUGGGUUAAUUUUGACGCAUGUCCCUUUUUCGUUCGAUAGUAGUCAUUUUAAAAUUGUUACUGUGUAUAAUAAUCUGUCGUAUUUAUUUGUCAGACGACACACCAGCGCCGCCGGGCCCGUCCGGUUUUAGAGUGCCACGCUCGCCGCCCUCUGAAAGCAACGACACACCAGCGCCGCCGGGCCCGUCCGGUUUCAGAGUGCCACGCCCGCCGCCCUCUGAAAGCAGUGAGUAUAUUUACCAUAUAGAUAAAUACGAGUAAAAAUUUUUUUACAGUACAUAUGGUGCUACUUUACCGCACUAGUGCGCAAAUUAGCAUAUUACGUUACUGUGUCAAACAUUUAAAGGUCCAUAUGUACUGUAAAACGUUGUACGAUACAUGUGCGAAUAGAUAAUUCGCAACUCGUGUCGAUUUAAAACACUCCCUUCGGUCGUGUUUUAAUUUAUCACCACUCGUUUCGAAUUUCCUAUUUUUCGCACUUGUAUCGUAAUGUACUAUUUUUUACAAAAGCUUUUAUUUAACUGCUCUAAAAAGAAGAAAAUAAAAUUUUCCUUUAAAAUUUUAAUCAUCAACUUACGAGUAUAACCUCAUUAUACACAAUUUAUAUGUUCAAGCUUGUCGGGGCAAAAGGGCAUUCCAUACAUUAAAUAAUAAAAUCAACAUGUUUUUUGAUUAAAUGAAUACUUUUGAAAAUAAUUGGCUAC